UACGUAGGGGGCAAGCGUUGUCCGGAUUUAUUGGGCGUAAAGAGCGUGUAGGCGGCUUGGUAGGUCCGCUGUGAAAACUCGAGGCUCAACCUCGAGAUGUCGGCGGAAACCACUUGGCUAGAGUCCGGAAGAGGAGAGUGGAAUUCCUGGUGUAGCGGUGAAAUGCGCAGAUAUCAGGAGGAACACUGGUGGCGAAGGCGGGUCUCUGGGCCGAUACUGACGCUGAGGAGCGAAAGCGUGGGGAGCGAACAGG
rnacentral:rRNA from 1 species